rnacentral:rRNA from 1 species
ACAAUGGAGAGUUUGAUCCUGGCUCAGGAUGAACGCUAGCGGCAGGCCUAAUACAUGCAAGUCGGACGGGAUCCGUUGGUAGCUUGCUACCAAUGGUGAGAGUGGCGCACGGGUGCGUAACGCGUGAGCAACCUACCUCUAUCAGGGGGAUAGCCUCUCGAAAGAGAGAUUAACACCGCAUAACAUCAACAGUUCGCAUGUUCGGUUGAUUAAAUAUUUAUAGGAUAGAGAUGGGCUCGCGUGACAUUAGCUAGUUGGUAGGGUAACGGCUUACCAAGGCGACGAUGUCUAGGGGCUCUGAGAGGAGAAUCCCCCACACUGGUACUGAGACACGGACCAGACUCCUACGGGAGGCAGCAGUAAGGAAUAUUGGUCAAUGGGCGGAAGCCUGAACCAGCCAUGCCGCGUGCAGGAUGACUGCCCUAUGGGUUGUAAACUGCUUUUGUCCAGGAAUAACCCCAGAUACGUGUAUCUGGCUGAAUGUACUGGAAGAAUAAGGAUCGGCUAACUCCGUGCCAGCAGCCGCGGUAAUACGGAGGAUCCGAGCGUUAUCCGGAUUUAUUGGGUUUAAAGGGUGCGUAGGCGGCCUAUUAAGUCAGGGGUGAAAUACGGUGGCUCAACCAUCGCAGUGCCUUUGAUACUGA